CAGUAGCCGCGGGAAUACAGAGGGUGCGAGCGUUAAUCGGAUUUACUGGGCGUAAAGCGUGCGUAGGCGGCUUUUUAAGUCGGAUGUGAAAUCCCUGAGCUUAACUUAGGAAUUGCAUUCGAUACUGGGAAGCUAGAGUAUGGGAGAGGAUGUUAGAAUUCCAGGUGUAGCGGUGAAAUGCGUAGAGAUCUGGAGGAAUACCGAUGGCGAAGGCAGCCAUCUGGCCUAAUACUGACGCUGAGGUACGAAAGCAUGGGGAGCAAACAGGAUUAGAUACCCCUGUAGUCCCUGUCUCUUAUAC
rnacentral:rRNA from 1 species